AUCGCUUCUCGGCCUUUGGCUAAGAUCAAGUGUAGUAUCUGUUCUUAUCAGUUUAUAUCUGAUACGUCCCCCAUCGGGGGACUAUACAUAUUAAAUGAUUUUUCGAACAGGGAGUCGGAAGCGGGGCUUGCUCCGUCCGCUCCCGCAUCGACUCGGUAUUGCAGUACCUCCGAGAACGGUGCACCCUCU
rnacentral:snRNA from 1 species